rnacentral:rRNA from 1 species
CAGGGAAUCUUCCGCAAUGGACGCAAGUCUGACGGAGCAACGCCGCGUGAGUGAAGAAGGAUUUCGGUUCGUAAAACUCUGUUGUUAGAGAAGAACAGCGCAUAGAGUAACUGUUAUGCGUGUGACGGUAUCUAACCAGAAAGCCACGGCUAACUACGUGCCAGCAGCCGCGGUAAUACGUAGGUCCCGAGCGUUGUCCGGAUUUAUUGGGCGUAAAGCGAGCGCAGGCGGUUAGAAGAGUCUGAAGUGAAAGGCAGUGGCUCAACCAUUGUAGGCUUUGGAAACUGUUUAACUUGAGUGCAGAAGGGGAGAGUGGAAUUCCAUGUGUAGCGGUGAAAUGCGUAGAUAUAAGGAGGAACACCAGUGGCGAAGGCGACUCGCUGGUCUGUAACUGACGCUGAGGCUCGAAAGCGUGGGUAGCAAACAGG